ACAGUUCAUCAGAGGCUGCAAUGUAUUGAGCAAAGGAGUUGCCAGUAAAGGUCCUAAACCAGAGGUGGUGCUGGUGGUAGGAGAAGAGACUCUCCAUGAUCUCACACGCUGAACCCUCAGAGAGAUUCAUAGAAACUGGCGGGAUGUUUCUGUGAGGAUCUGCAAAACUCCUUUUCCCUCAGCAGAGAUCCGAAGAGGGGGCUGUUCCACACAGUUUUUCAAAGCAUAAAUGCCAUCACAAAUGGAAGCCUGGGUGACAUCCUUGUGAGCAGGCCAGAAGAGUGAAUGGAGAAGUCCUUUAAAAGAAAAUGUGAAGAAACAGGGGAGGCUUUGAAAUUUGCCCG
rnacentral:lncRNA from 1 species